GGUGGUUCUCGGGUAAUGCACCCCAGAAUCAGGGUCCCUCCUCUCUGGUUCCGGGUGCGUCACCUGAGAACUGCA
rfam:Myotis lucifugus cont2.24909, whole genome shotgun sequence.